CAUCUCAUCCUCUGUCGUCCCCUUCUCCUCCUGCCUUCAAUCUUUCCCAGUAUCAGGGUCUUUUCCAAUGAGUCAGUUCUUCGCCUCAAGUGGCCAAAGCAUUGGGGCUUCAGCUUCCAGAAAUUUUUGUUGCAAAAGGUGAAAAUCUAGGACGGAAGACAGUUGCUGUGACGGGCGGAGGCCACAAGGGGGCAGUGCCUCUCCAGUCUGUUUCGGUCCAAAUGUGCAAAAUCCCGCGGGAGUCGGAGGAAGAAAGGAAAUGUAGCCACAUCGCCAGGCCUUUUAUCCACACUGGGCAUCCGCUCCCACUGCAGAUCCCGGAGGCACCCCGCUCCCUGCUCACCCACCACAGCCCCCUCCCUCUUCCCCUUUCCAGAAAUGUUUGGAAUACAGCUGAGGGUCACAAAGCUGGAAUGUUUCUUUCUCCGUCCACAGCACAGUGGGGAUGAGAAAAGAAUGUCAGUGUCCUCAAGGGCUGGGACAACGGUGCUGCUCUGCUCCAGUCUAAGGAAACCUACGCAAGAAUGCCUCCUCCCACCUCCGCUACCUUGGAAACCAGACAAGGUGCCUCCAACACCAUUUCACUCCUCACCCAUUUCCUCAGCAUCCAGUGAUUUUGGGGUCAUUCCUUAUCCACUUUCUGGCCUGCUGUUGUUCAGACCAAUACAGAAAGCCUACUAAAUAGUCUCUGGGGGAAAAGACAGUUUUCUUGGGUCAUUUUAAAAAGUUUCUACAGUUUAUUACUAUUGUUAUAGAGAAUAACUAAUAUGUUUAUAACUUUGCAAUGGGCACAUGUGGGGACAAUGACAGUUCUGUCACUGUGUUAUUAACACUAGGAAAACAUCACUCUCUACUCAAGAAUAUUGAAUAAAUAUUGUACACUGGCGUUUUCAGCUCUCAGUGUGUUUCACUUUUAAAGGUUCAAAUCUUGGGUCAGCUUGCCAGAAAACAUUACCUCAUCAUACUCUGUCACUGAGAAAAGAAAAAAAAAUCUGAACUAAAUGAAGAUUGAAUUUCAUACCAAAGUGCUGAGUCCAAAGACCUUGGGGGAUCACUAGACAAAAAAAAAAAACAAGAAGACCCGAAAAUGAUUUUGAAUGAUGUGACCUUGCGAAUGAGUGUCUUGGGAGACUUGGGCCACAGAUGUGAAGAUGGUGCUGGAUGCAGCGUAAGCAGAAGUGGUCAAGGCAAAGAACCAUCAUGCUCUCGUGUAACCAACCACUCAUGCCUCCUUGCUUUGAUGCAAUGAACUGGAGCAUGUUUUACCCCCAGAAAGUCUAGCUCAGAUAUCACAGACCCAGUUCUACAAUCAUCCCUUUAAGCAUGCAUUUGCAGCUUUCUCUCUCUUCUUAAAUUCCCACUUCUUUCAUUAAAUAAAAUCAAUUGAGGACAUUAAAAACUUUACAGAACUAAGAUAAAAGAAAACCUCAGGCCCAUGAUCCCAGCUUGAACAAUGUUAAUAUUUGGGAGCUAUAUGAUUUUUUUCCACAUUUCCCCAUUUUCACAUUUCAAUGGAUACGCCUUUUUCUGGGUGAUGCAAUAGGAACCAGAGAUUUUUUUUUUUUUUCCCCCUAGAGGGGAAAAUGCCAUCCAGGCAAAAUUAAUCAACUGCCAAUAGUCUCUCUUUG